rnacentral:rRNA from 1 species
GAUGAACGCUGGCGGCGUGCUUAACACAUGCAAGUCGAACGGAAAGGCUCCUGCUUGCAGGGGUACUCGAGUGGCGAACGGGUGAGUAACACGUGGGUGAUCUGCCCUGCACUUCGGGAUAAGCCUGGGAAACUGGGUCUAAUACCGGAUAGGACGAUGGUUUGGAUGCCAUUGUGGAAAGUUUUUCGGUGUGGGAUGAGCUCGCGGCCUAUCAGCUUGUUGGUGGGGUAAUGGCCUACCAAGGCGUCGACGGGUAGCCGGCCUGAGAGGGUGGACGGCCACAUUGGGACUGAGAUACGGCCCAGACUCCUACGGGAGGCAGCAGUGGGGAAUAUUGCACAAUGGGCGCAAGCCUGAUGCAGCAACGCCGCGUGGGGGAUGACGGCCUUCGGGUUGUAAACUCCUUUCGCUAGGGACGAAGCGCGAGUGACGGUACCUGGAGAAGAAGCACCGGCUAACUACGUG